UAGCCGUAAACGAUACUCGCUAGGUGUCGGCCACGGUGCGACCGUUGUCGGUGCCGUAGGGAAGCCGUGAAGCGAGCCACCUGGGAAGUACGGCCGCAAGGCUGAAACUUAAAGGAAUUGGCGGGGGAGCACCGCAACGGGAGGAGCGUGCGGUUCAAUUGGAUUCAACGCCGGACAACUCACCAGGAGCGACGGUUACAUGAAGGCCAGGCUGAUGACCUUGCCUGAUUUUCCGAGAGGUGGUGCAUGGCGUAGUCGUGU
rnacentral:rRNA from 1 species